UUUACCUCUCAAACCCGCGUUCACUUCUCAAACCAGAAAGAAAGCAGCGUUCAUGCGAGAGACAGAGGCCUCAGAGAUCAUAGUCGUCUAAGAGGGGGUUUGAGCAUGAGGACAAAGGUGAUUUUGCAACCUCACCAAAGCAUUUCAGAGUUGCUUGGGUGAAACUGAUGACUCUGUGCAUUGCAGUACUACAACAACAAAAUGGCGGAAUUACAUCUAUUCGUGGACUUUGAAAUAGAAACAAGGCUUGCCAUUGGCCUUGCUGUUGUCGUAGGAUAGAGCCAGCGUAUAUGUACAAAAAGUUACGAACAACACAGGAUGUUGACUGACUUUGAAGGUGCUACAAGAAAAAUGAAGUAAGGUUACGCAUCUGGUCUAGCAAAGAGAAAAGGUUUGAAGCUGCAUUUGGAGCCUCAUGUGUUUGGCUUGCGAGCUUGAUUUGCUUUCCUAGGAUGCAGUGAUUUGAGGUGUAACUUUGCGCUUACUAGAUCUCUCAACUCAAUCUUAGAUGAAGUCGGUUUUAGCAGAACAUGACUAUAUGUAAAGACCUAUCCAAACUCUUUUGAACAAUGAGCAGCUCAGUAUUGUCGAUAUUUUGAUGUUUUGACUGCUACUUGAUUUAUUAAAAUAUGGCCAAUAUUUUGACAUGACAAACAGCAUAAAAAAACAUGUUAUUAUCCUAUUUUUUGUUACUUAGACUUGCUAAACAAAGCAAGAUACCACUAUUUAGAUCUCCAUGUCAAUAUAAAUAGUACCAUUUUUCCUA